GCGGGUGGGAUCGCUCCUGUCACCCCCUACCGUCCAGUGCUCAGGGCCCGUCGGGGGUGCUCACUCCCCGCCGCUGGGCUCGGAUACCCAGCCGUGGUGUCGGUGCUGUGCGCUCGUGUCCCGGGGCUGCAGCCCAGCUCCAGGUCGUGCUGCAGGCCAUGGGCACUGGCAGGUGGUGGUUGCCCUGUGGCCCCAUAGCCUUGUAGGGCUGGUGCGACCAACCGGAGACACUGCCAGGUCUGGGCUGGCCGUGACCGCACACACAGGCUGCCGUGACUACCCCACGGGUAUGGACCUCCUCUGGGAGCCGGGGAACGGCCAGUGUGCAGAGGACAGGCAGGUCCCAGAGGUCUAGCGGGACCCAGACAGGCGGGAGGCAACAGGAUGCCCAUGAAAUUCGGGAUGAAGGGGAAAACCAGCAAUGACAGAGGCGGGAGCUGGAGGGGGCUCUGCGAGGUCUGGCAGGCACAGCCCUGAGCCCUACGAACAGCUGAGAGGUGGAGGGAAGAGGUUGUUCCCUCAGGGCUCAUCAGACUGCAUCUCGUACUGUGUUCGAGAAGGAUCUUGAUAAACCAGAGUGAUAAACUGCUGCUGAAAAGAUAGUAAGUGAAGAAAGGGCCAGUUGUGCAGUCCUACAUGGUGGCUGUCCCAUGGAGUGCCUCACUUCAGCAGAGACUGUAGCGGCAUGCCCUCGGGAGCAGUGGUUUCUGGCGGCACUUUUACUCUGGAAGAAAAAAACGCAUGUUUGGACUGAUGGACAGAAAAGCAGGAAGCCUGACAGCCCGGUCACCACCGGGCCGUCCCUUCAUCCACUGCCACCCAAAGACAAGGAAUUGCAGGCAACAGAGAGGUUAUGUCCUCUCUGCCUCAGGGGACUCCAUGUGCAAGGCAGGAUGGGGCUGACUCACUGUGCCCUCUCGACGUCCUCAAUACCCUCAGGCAGGCACAUGUUGAGCGUCUCUGGGAGCAGAAAGGCCACUGCACCACUGCACACUGCUACACUGCAGUAUGUCACCUCUGGCAGAGACCUCCACACCUCGUCCAGCAGGAACACAAGUGGGGCCAAAGCCCCGCCGAGGCGUGCCACAAAGGAGGUGUACCCCAUCCCAUUCUGCCUGGAAAGAAUACAUAAAAAAGUCAAGCACGGAAAAGUGAACCCUGUCCAUGAGGAAGAAGAGAGUGCUUAUUCACAAAGGCUUUUGGCAACUGAUUGAGGACACUGUACCAACACUUGGCAAAUACUACAGCGACCAAGAAGGCAAACACUAAGUUGGACUAGUUCCUUGUGCAACUGCACAGUCUCCUGUCUGCUAUGGGAGUGAUGCCUCUGCCUUAUUUUCUCAGGCUGCGCUUCUCUCUCACUGUGUAUUUAGUCCAGUGUCCAGUCCACUGAGGUCUCUUGUCAUGGCAAUAAUGAGUGGAAAGACACUCCACCUAAUGAAAGAGAUUUCUGGUCUUAUGGGA